GCACCCGCCGCGACCGCAGUUCCUCUUGCCAUAUACCGCACUACGAGACGCGCUGAUACAACGCCAAGCCCAGCCUGGCGGUUGGUCAGGGACAGAAGCCGCGCAUAAGCAAUUUGCAAGGCACGCUGCCGCAGCGCUGAAGGAAGCUGUGUAUAAACGCCCUGUGCAAAAAGUCAUUGAGAGUUACUGCAAAACGAAUAAUGUGAAGGCGCUGCGAAUUCCAAAUCUUUGAAACGCUUUAUAAGUUUAUAUACACGUAUAAUUCUCGAAAAGGAGAUGAAAUAAAAUAAAAUUUCGACAAUCAUUAUACUACGUUUAUUUUAUGCUACAAUUGUUUACUAUAUACAAUACAAUAACCUGUUGUUACAC